GGGAGGAUGGAGGAGCGGGGAUUAUAGGGGUAACCCAAUCCUGGUGCCCGGGAGGGGGGUGGGGGGCUGGGAGCUACCACCCAGCCACUCAGGGACCCCAGGAGCCUCUGCCUACCCUGUCACAGGGCAGCGACGAGCCCUGCUCAAUGCCGGCUUUGUGUAGCCCGGGAUAAUGAUUUACAAACUUCAGGAAUCAGGAGGUGCGAAAAGAAGACGACCCUCUUAACCCGGCCAUUGUCUAUCCCCUGCCGGAACGCCCAGCAUGCCGCGGGCCUGUGCACCUGUGCACACGGAUGCUGUUUGAGGAUGCUCCAGGGUGGAAGAGAGAACCCAGCCGCAUCCUGAAUGGUGGCCCUCAGCCACUCCGGCCUCCAUGUCUCCUCUCCAGGCCUCAGUUUCCUCAAGUCUGAACCGACACAGAGCAACAGCUGAUGAGGAGCCUGAGGUACAGAGAAGGAAAGCAAUCUGUCCAAAGUCACACAGCAGGCAUGUAGCUCCAUACUGAUGAUUUUAGGAGCAUCCCUCACGGCCCAGAGCACUGGUUCCCAGUCCCAGAAAUGAAAGAAAAUCAUCCGGGGAGCUCGGGAAGCAUCCAGAUCUUCAGGUUCCUAAUUUCUGCAAAGCUGCCUGGGAGAUUCUCACAGAACCUUCACUAGCUCAGCUUUGGUGAACCUCUGGACACUGGCUUUGGGCAGGCUGGAGCAGAAGAGUGAGCACUGGGCCUGGAUCCUGACCUUAGUGCAUCUCUAGUGGCUGAAGUCCUCUGUGAAACAAGAGGGCUGAACUCCAUCGUCAAAUUCCCCACACUUUUUAGUGGUAGAAUUUUUCCUUCGGUCAGGUCUUAGGUACAGUCUGAGAUACAAAAUAGGUCAGAAGAGCUUUAUUGGGGGGCGCCUGGGUGGCUCAGUGGGUUGGGCCUCUGCCUUCAGCUCCGGUCAUGAUCUCCGGGUCCUGGAAUCGAGCUCCGAAUUGGGCUUCCCACCCCCCCCUGCCUGCCUCUCUGUCUACUUGUGAUUUCUCUCUCUGUCAAAUAAAUAAUUUUUUUUAAAGGGCUUUUUUUGGGGGGGUGGGGUUCAGGCUAUCUGCUCCUUGGCAGCCCCUGAGGCACAAUUUACUGAUUCUCUGAGCUCCAGUCAGAGCUGGAGAGCAUAGGCACAUGGUCAGAUAGCUUUGAGUUCUGUUAUGCUGGAUCCUCUUCCCAAGGCAGUGUCCCCUGGAAUGCGCCCCAGGCCCUGGUGUAGGUUCUGUAAAUCCUACUUCAGGAACACUCCAGGGACUUGCUCCGGACCCCAGUUCCAAGUCCUGGCGAGGCCUGAGUGCAGGUAACAUGGUAUGCAGUGGGUGGAGAGGGACCUGGGGCUGGACACACAGCUCCUUCCAGCUUGUCAGUUUCCUCUGCCUGCUUGCCGUCCUUGCUGGGGAGGGGGAAGUGACAUGUCCUAAAUGCUUGGGGGGAUCCUUGGACCUGUUGUCGGAGAUAGUACAGCAGGUGGCAGCCAUCCAUCUGAUGGGGGUGGGGGUUUGCUUCUACUUGAGCUGGGCCUUUGGCAUCUGGGAUUUGCUCUCCUUGCUUGCUUUGGGAUAACAAAAACUCCUCCACCAGGGCAGGCCCCUGGCAUUGGCUGAGUUUUUCCACGAGAGUCCUUCCUGAGACUGCAUCUUGGGGCACCCAUUUCACAGAUGAGACAAAUGAGGCUCGGAGAGAUCCAUGUGGAAUCAUGUGCUUUACAAAGGUGGUGAGACCAACCCUUGGACCUCAAAACAAGAGCUUCACCUGCUAGGGCCAGAAUCCUUUUGGAUGGGAGGAGACAUGCCUUGCAGAAGACAGACAGAUCCCUGACCUGACAGAGUCUGCACCCUACAGGAGGACGAUCUCAGUUGGAAGUGAAAUGGGUUUCCUGUCGGAGAUGCCUUGGACACUCUUUGGAGUUUACCCUCCUUGUCCAUAGGAUAGGAUAAUAAACACGAUUACCUCCCUGGCCUGGUUGAGAAUAGGAAGCAGGCGUUGGAGAGAAUUCAUGCAGGCACCUGCCACACGCUGUGCUUAGCCUCCAGUCCUGAUGAUAAUGCUGCAUGACAGAAACAACUCUCCCCAUUUUAUGGAGAAGGAUCCUGAAGACUGGAGAACCAAACCUGGAUCUCUCACCAGAGCUCAUGUUCUUCCCACUGCUUCUGGCUGCUUCCCUCUUACGGUCCUGGCCCUCAGUGUGCGGUUUGGCUUUGUUUUGAUUUGAUUUGAAGUCCCCAAGUGAGACAGAGCAAGACUGAAGCAAAGCCCGCCAAGCCGAGCCCCUCCCCUCCAGUGGCAAGCAGCCAAGGACCCCAGGAGGAAAGGCCAGGAUUUGUAACUCUAGGUGCGAGGACCCCUCUCUCUGACCGGCACAUGGAAAUGACACAGAUUCCUCUGCAUCUCCUCUGUGUGGUGGGAGUGGGGAGAAGAGAUAGUCCAUGGGGCCCACCCCCCAGCCCCUGCCUCCAAGGCUAGAUGCUGGCUGUUUCUGAGGGCCUCAUCGGGGUCCACGUUGAGGACCUGGCUGUCAGCUCGAGUCUGAAACCCUCUUCCCUUCCCAACACAGCCAUAUGGUUGCUCUGGCCACCCACAUGGGGCUGUGGCCUUGGACAGACAGAAGUCCUGGAGUCAAGAGGCUGGGCUCGAUGGGAGGACUGCUGGCUCCUGUGGGGAGACCUACCUGAGCCCCCAGGGUGGGUCCACUCAGGCCUGGCAAGGGAAGGGCCCAAGGGUAGGCCCACGUGGCUCCUAGGACCACCCCAUGAGACAGGGGCUACUGGGCCCCUGAGAGCGCUGUGGGGCCAAAGGGGAGGGUAGUAUUUUCUCAGCAGGAUUUAUGUGUGUGUGCGUGUGUGCGUGUGUGUGUGAGUGAGUGUGUGUGUGAGUGAGUGUUUAACAAGGAGUGGGGCCUGCCUGACUUCUGAGCCUGGAAUUUAUACAGCCCCUCGAUGGCGGCAGCCGUUUAUCUUGACCGAAAGAAUAAUAAACUCAGUUGACAGGA